CCUCCAAUGGGCGCGCGGUCAGCAUUCCUACAACGCAUCUCCAGUGUAUUCGCGACACCAUUCUCCAAAACGACUCCUCACGUCACCCCCCACUCUGCCUCUCCAUCAACUUGCGACUUCACCACUUGCGUGACUCAGAAAACUGAAUCAAGCAGCAGCUAUAGGCCUACAAGUCAGCCCUUUGAAGUCGGGCCUAAUUAAGAAGGUUGAGAUGAGACAUAACCGAGAUAUGUGUGUCUAAGCUUAGGCUUACUCUGGUUUGUAACAAGACACAAUGGUAGACUGGUGUCACAUCCCCUUUUGCAGACAGAGCAAUGGAUCCCUCUUUUCAUCCAGACUAGCAUCCGAUGAAUUUCUCAUUUGGGCUUGCCCUCCUUCAAAGAGCUGAGGGAAAUAAAUCUACAACAGCCAACUGCAUGCUAAAAUUAUAGCUCCUGAUUCCUGCUUGUCUCUCCUCGCAUUCCCCAAAGCAAGUUCCUUAAAUCACUGGGAGAACCAGGUCAAGUCUGCUCUCUGAGAAGGCAUGAUGUCACCUUGCAUAACCAAAGUCCUCAGGAAGAUCAUGGCACGUGGACUAAUGUGUGUUAUGGAGAAAGAACUUAAGAAAAUGACUCUAUUUUCCCACCAUGAAAUAAAGACAAACUCAGUCUACAGGUGUUCAGGUUCUUGGCCAUCUCAGGGAGAGAUGCAAUCUCCAGGAAGGAUUUUACACCAGAAACUCCCUUUUUCCUUUCUGUCAUUUUAUGGUUUAAUGAUAUUUCUUAUGUUACAAAACAUUCUCCAUCAUACAUAUGUUAUUGUUUUAUACAGUUUUAAACCUUAAAUACACAGCAAAAUAUUCUAAAGCUUACAUUUACUGUCUAAAAUGUUUCACAAACUGACAACAAAUUGUGCUUCUUUUGGUUGUUAACUUCUUUAGAUUGUUAACAAUGAGAACUAAAAAUAUAACUCAAA